GGCCGGUCUUUUUAACUUCUGUCUCCACAUCGUUGUAUUCCUGGGAUCCUGUAGUCAGAGGAAACAGCUUGAGGAGGUCGCCUUUCAUGUCAUCCCAAUGUGGCGGCAGAGCGGCGUCUGUACCUGCAAAGAGAAUAAGAGCCUCCUCCAGGUUGAGGUUGGUGUAAAUGUCGAAGGGCACCGUCGCCUUGUUGUGGUGCUGAAACUGCCACUCUACAAGCCCGCUCACCAGCAAGGCCUUAUUCCUCAAGGUCUCCGUCCUCUCCACCUUCCGGAUGAUGUCCCUGAUGGUCACCAGAAAACACAUUUAAAGGAAUACGCUAACAUUUGGCGCUCUGGACCGAAGCUCUCUUCUCUCCACCGUAACUGACCUGACCGUAGCCUCGGCGGUGAAGACGUCUCUGGUCAGACCCUCCAGGUGGAUUUUGGGCUCCUGGUCCUCCUGCCCUUUGUCCAGACGGAUGCUGACCGUCAGUUCCCUCUGCAGGGCCUUCAGCUGGUCCAUGUCAGCCUGCGACAGCUGACUGAUGUACUGAUCUGUGAUGGUGCGCUCCGCCUGCUCGGCCACAAUCACCUCCUGAAUCCUUUUCUUAGCCAGACUCACAGCCUGCAGUGGCGGUAACGGUUGUGGAGGUUACAAACAAGCACUGCUGCAUCAUGAAAGAACACUUUCAUAUUCAAUCUUUCUGUGAGGUUUGAUCAUAUGAGUGUCCCAAGUCAGAUUUCAUUUCUAUGCCUGUUUGAGGCCCAAAAACUACUUUAACUUCAGUAAAUUAACCGCAUACUUCUUGGAUGAAUACCAUGGGUUCAAUAAAGAGGUCAGCAUCAGUGACA